UUACUCACUACUCUUGGGUGUUUCCCUUACGCCACAAAUCCGACACCGCUGCCACGCUCUUACGUUUCUUCUCCUACGUUAACACUCAAUAUAAUCUCUCUAUUAAAUGUGUGCAGUGUGACAAUGGCGGCGAGUUCCUCUCUCUCUCUACGUGACCACUUCUCUCGCCAUGGCGUCGCCUUCUGCCUCUCCUGCCCACACACUUCACCUCAAAACGGCAAGGCCGAACGCCUUCUUCGCACCACUAACGAUGUCCUCCGCACUCUUCUCAUCCACGCACAUAUGCCGCCCGAGUAUUGGGUCGAGGCACUCCACACCGCCAACCAUCUUCUCAACCGGCGACCCUCAUCAACCAUUAACCAGCACACACCCUACUACCUCCUCCACAGCGAACACCCCACGUACGACCAUCUUCGCGUUUUCGGAUGCCUUUGCUUUCCCAACCUCACCCACCUCGCGCCACACAAACUAGCCCCCCGAUCCACUCCUUGCGUCCUACUCGGGUACCCCCUGGAGCACAAAGGCUACUGCUGCCUCGAUCUACGCUUGCGCCGCGUUUAUAUUUCUCGCCACGUCACUUUUGACGAGAAGAAAUUUCCCUUUGCUACACUUAGCACACCG
rnacentral:rRNA from 1 species